AAAUUGAAGAGUUUGAUCAUGGCUCAGAUUGAACGCUGGCGGCAGGCCUAACACAUGCAAGUCGAACGGUAACAGGAAGCAGCUUGCUGCUUUGCUGACGAGUGGCGGACGGGUGAGUAAUGUCUGGGAAACUGCCUGAUGGAGGGGGAUAACUACUGGAAACGGUAGCUAAUACCGCAUAACGUCGCAAGACCAAAGAGGGGGACCUUCGGGCCUCUUGCCAUCGGAUGUGCCCAGAUGGGAUUAGCUAGUAGGUGGGGUAACGGCUCACCUAGGCGACGAUCCCUAGCUGGUCUGAGAGGAUGACCAGCCACACUGGAACUGAGACACGGUCCAGACUCCUACGGGAGGCAGCAGUGGGGAAUAUUGCACAAUGGGCGCAAGCCUGAUGCAGCCAUGCCGCGUGUAUGAAGAAGGCCUUCGGGUUGUAAAGUACUUUCAGCGGGGAGGAAGGUGUUGAGGUUAAUAACCUCAGCAAUUGACGUUACCCGCAGAAGAAGCACCGGCUAACUCCGUGCCAGCAGCCGCGGUAAUACGGAGGGUGCAAGCGUUAAUCGGAAUUACUGGGCGUAAAGCGCACGCAGGCGGUCUGUCAAGUCGGAUGUGAAAUCCCCGGGCUCAACCCGGGAACUGCAUUCGAAACUGGCAGGCUAGAGUCUUGUAGAGGGGGGUAGAAUUCCAGGUGUAGCGGUGAAAUGCGUAGAGAUCUGGAGGAAUACCGGUGGCGAAGGCGGCCCCCUGGACAAAGACUGACGCUCAGGUGCGAAAGCGUGGGGAGCAAACAGGAUUAGAUACCCCGGUAGUCCACGCCGUAAACGAUGUCGACUUGGAGGUUGUGCCCUUGAGGCGUGGCUUCCGGAGCUAACGCGUUAAGUCGACCGCCCGGGGAGUACGGCCGCAAGGUUAAAACUCAAAUGAAUUGACGGGGGCCCGCACAAGCGGUGGAGCAUGUGGUUUAAUUCGAUGCAACGCGAAGAACCUUACCUACUCUUGACAUCCAGAGAACUUUCCAGAGAUGGAUUGGUGCCUUCGGGAACUCUGAGACAGGUGCUGCAUGGCUGUCGUCAGCUCGUGUUGUGAAAUGUUGGGUUAAGUCCCGCAACGAGCGCAACCCUUAUCCUUUGUUGCCAGCGGUCCGGCCGGGAACUCAAAGGAGACUGCCAGUGAUAAACUGGAGGAAGGUGGGGAUGACGUCAAGUCAUCAUGGCCCUUACGAGUAGGGCUACACACGUGCUACAAUGGCGCAUACAAAGAGAAGCGACCUCGCGAGAGCAAGCGGACCUCAUAAAGUGCGUCGUAGUCCGGAUUGGAGUCUGCAACUCGACUCCAUGAAGUCGGAAUCGCUAGUAAUCGUGGAUCAGAAUGCCACGGUGAAUACGUUCCCGGGCCUUGUACACACCGCCCGUCACACCAUGGGAGUGGGUUGCAAAAGAAGUAGGUAGCUUAACCUUCGGGAGGGCGCUUACCACUUUGUGAUUCAUGACUGGGGUGAAGUCGUAACAAGGUAACCGUAGGGGAACCUGCGGUUGGAUCACCUCCUUACCUUAAAGAA
rnacentral:rRNA from 1 species